rnacentral:rRNA from 1 species
GGCAUCGAUGAAGAACGCAGCGAAAUGCGAUAAGUAAUGUGAAUUGCAGAAUUCAGUGAAUCAUCGAAUCUUUGAACGCACAUUGCGCCCGCCAGUAUUCUGGCGGGCAUGCCUGUCCGAGCGUCAUUU